rnacentral:rRNA from 1 species
GACCUCGGAUCAGGUAGGAAUACCCGCUGAACUUAAGCAUAUCAAUAAGCGGAGGAAAAGAAACCAACAGGGAUUGCCUCAGUAACGGCGAGUGAAGCGGCAACAGCUCAAAUUUGAAAUCUGGCUCUCGGGCCCGAGUUGUAAUUUGUAGAGGAUGCUUUUGAUGCGGUGCCUUCCGAGUUCCCUGGAACGGGACGCCAUAGAGGGUGAGAGCCCCGUCUGGUUGGAUGCCAAAUCUCUGUAAAGCUCCUUCGACGAGUCGAGUAGUUUGGGAAUGCUGCUCUAAAUGGGAGGUAUAUGUCUUCUAAAGCUAAAUACCGGCCAGAGACCGAUAGCGCACAAGUAGAGUGAUCGAAAGAUGAAAAGCACUUUGGAAAGAGAGUUAAACAGUACGUGAAAUUGUUGAAAGGGAAGCGUUUAUGACCAGACUUGGGCUUGGUUAAUCAUCUGGGGUUCUCCCCAGUGCACUUUUCCAGUCCAGGCCAGCAUCAGUUUUCGCCGGGGGAUAAAGGCUUCGGGAAUGUGGCUCUCUCCGGGGAGUGUUAUAGCCCGUUGCGUAAUACCCUGGCGGGGACUGAGGUUCGCGCAUCUGCAAGGAUGCUGGCGUAAUGGUCAUCAACGACCCGUCUUGUAACACGGACCAAGGAGUC